UGCUAUGGUUUCUCUCCAGCAAGGAUCCAUUUGUGAUAAGUUAAUUGAGCCCUGUGAUAAAAUAUUUCACUGCAGAUAUCACAGUGAUAUGGUUUCACUCUAACAUGGAUUCAGUUGUGAAUACACUGACAACCUUUUCCAGAGAAUGCCUUAUCACAGAUAUUACAGAGGUAUGGUCUCUGUCUUGAAUAAAACCAGCUUUAGCAGUCACAAGCCUAUCCAAAAAGGGUGAAAUGAGUUCGUGAGAAUGAAGAGAAGAGCAGAUGUCAAUUCAAGAUUUGCGGUUGCUUUCGGACAAUUCAUGAGGCACCCAUUUUCCAAGUUUAGGAACCUUUCCAAGUUGUUGAUGACGAUGAACAGUUGUAUGGUUUGAACUAAGUUUUAUUGCCAAGUCAUCGACUGAUAAUACAAGAUUUUCUUCAAGUAAUGCCUCAAGGAGCUUAUCAUCAAACUCAACUGGAUGUCCUGUUCGAUCUUCAUCUUCAAAGCUGAAAUCUCCACUUCUGAAUUUUGUUCUUAUGUCAUAGAGUAUUCCUGUUGGAUUUGAAACCAGAUUCUUUUUCUUUGAGAGCAAGGGUACAUUGUUAGGGCUUACGCCAAAGAAGAACGUCUUACAUUACGUUCUUCUAACACCCGGCAGCGAACCCAUUCUGUGCCAGCUGGAGACCAUUUUCUAAUGAAUCCAAAUAGCACCAUUCAUCUACAAAAAUCAUCCGACUGCUUCUGCUCCUACCGAUUGUGAUAUCUCUUCCACAACUGUUGCGUGUGUUAAUCCAGUUCAUAAAAAUUAUGAUAAGGAGAGGUGACAAAAUCCACCCCAGUAAAAAUUCAACAUCUACGUUGAAAGAUUUCGACUUGGCACCAUCUACAGCAACACAAACAUCUCGGCAUUUGUAUAGGGACGUCACGACAAUCGGAAGCCGCCCGUUAAUCCCAAACAAUGCAGCUCAACAUAUGGAAAAUAUAUUUGCAACGCAGGAGUGGAUCUGUUUGUUCAACCAAAUGUCGAAAGCAAUGGAUAUGUUUUGGUCUUUCUCGAAGAGUACCCAAUUCAGUUGGCCACACUGAUAAUGAUAAAAUAUAUAUGGAAAAUGGAGGAAUGCUGUGACGCUGAUUAUAGAAAUAAAAUAUAUG